rnacentral:rRNA from 1 species
AUUGAACACUGGCGGCAGGCCUAACACAUGCAAGUCGAGCGGAAACGAAGGGAGCUUGCUCCCAGGCGUCGAGCGGCGGACGGGUGAGUAACACGUGAGAAUCUGCCCAUUAGUGGGGGACAACUCGGGGAAACUCGAGCUAAUACCGCAUAAUCCCUACGGGCGAAAGCAGGGGACCUUUUGGCCUUGCGCUGAUGGUUGAGCUCGCGUCGGAUUAGCUUGUUGGUGAGGUAAAGGCUCACCAAGGCGACGAUCCGUAGCUGGUCUGAGAGGAUGAUCAGCCACACUGGGACUGAGACACGGCCCAGACUCCUACGGGAGGCAGCAGUGGGGAAUCUUGGACAAUGGGGGCAACCCUGAUCCAGCCAUGCCGCGUGUGUGAAGAAGGCCUUCGGGUUGUAAAGCACUUUCAGCAGGGAGGAAGGCUUUGGCCGAAUAGGUUGAAGUACUUGACGUUACCUGCAGAAGAAGCACCGGCCAAUUUCGUGCCAGCCGCCGCCGUAA